rnacentral:rRNA from 1 species
ACUUUAACACUGAGGCGUGAUGACGAGGCACUACGGUGCUGAAGCAACAAAUGCCCUGCUUCCAGGAAAAGCCUCUAAGCAUCAGGUAACAUCAAAUCGUACCCCAAACCGACACAGGUGGUCAGGUAGAGAAUACCAAGGCGCUUGAGAGAACUCGGGUGAAGGAACUAGGCAAAAUGGUGCCGUAACUUCGGGAGAAGGCACGCUGACAUGUAGGUGAAGUGAUUUACUCAUGGAGCUGAAGUCAGUCGAAGAUACCAGCUGGCUGCAACUGUUUAUUAAAAACACAGCACUGUGCAAACACGAAAGUGGACGUAUACGGUGUGACGCCUGCCCGGUGCCGGAAGGUUAAUUGAUGGGGUCAGCGCAAGCGAAGCUCCUGAUCGAAGCCCCGGUAAACGGCGGCCGUAACUAUAACGGUCCUAAGGUAGCGAAAUUCCUUGUCGGGUAAGUUCCGACCUGCACGAAUGGCGUAAUGAUGGCCAGGCUGUCUCCACCCGAGACUCAGUGAAAUUGAACUCGCUGUGAAGAUGCAGUGUACCCGCGGCAAGACGGAAAGACCCCGUGAACCUUUACUAUAGCUUGACACUGAACAUUGAGCCUUGAUGUGUAGGAUAGGUGGGAGGCUUUGAAGUGUGGACGCCAGUCUGCAUGGAGCCGACCUUGAAAUACCACCCUUUAAUGUUUGAUGUUCUAACGUGGACCCGUAAUCCGGGUUGCGGACAGUGUCUGGUGGGUAGUUUGACUGGGGCGGUCUCCUCCUAAAGAGUAACGGAGGAGCACGAAGGUUGGCUAAUCCUGGUCGGACAUCAGGAGGUUAGUGCAAUGGCAUAAGCCAGCUUGACUGCGAGCGUGACGGCGCGAGCAGGUGCGAAAGCAGGUCAUAGUGAUCCGGUGGUUCUGAAUGGAAGGGCCAUCGCUCAACGGAUAAAAGGUACUCCGGGGAUAACAGGCUGAUACCGCCCAAGAGUUCAUAUCGACGGCGGUGUUUGGCACCUCGAUGUCGGCUCAUCACAUCCUGGGGCUGAAGUAGGUCCCAAGGGUAUGGCUGUUCGCCAUUUAAAGUGGUACGCGAGCUGGGUUUAGAACGUCGUGAGACAGUUCGGUCCCUAUCUGCCGUGGGCGCUGGAGAACUGAGGGGGGCUGCUCCUAGUACGAGAGGACCGGAGUGGACGCAUCACUGGUGUUCGGGUUGUCAUGCCAAUGGCACUGCCCGGUAGCUAAAUGCGGAAGAGAUAAGUGCUGAAAGCAUCUAAGCACGAAACUUGCCCCGAGAUGAGUUCUCCCUGAGACUUUAGGUCUCCUGAAGGAACGUUGAAGACGACGACGUUGAUAGGCCGGGUGUGUAAGCGCAGCGAUGCGUUGAGCUAACCGGUACUAAUGAACCGUGAGGCUUAACCUUACAACGCCG